UUCGAAGAAAAAACCUUGAUUUCCUUGUUGUUUAUUAUUUAUUUGGAGUUUCGGACUUGCACUGGACAUUCAACCGCUAGCUUUAUGUAAUGUGGAUUUUCUGUGUAAAUUUUGACUAAUAUAUUAAUUUUGUUAUAUAAAUGAAACUAAAUAAUUUAGAGCUAAACAUGCUAUAAUCCUGUCAGCUAACUAUUAAAACACCGAAUGAAGAGAUCAGUUUGGUUGUGGUGAGGACAUGGAAUGUUGGAGUUUGCAGCUUGGCAUACUGAUUCACCCCUGUCAUGGACCACAGCUUCAAGUAUGGCUCUUGACAGGGAUAAUCCGAAUUGCUGGAGGUGAAAAGAUACAUGACAUCAUUUCUCAGUGCAAUGCAUCGAUGAUGAUAUGAGCUGGAGGACAUCCUCAUGUGACUAGUCAUCGACCAGAGCCUUCAAGUGUGGCUGUUGACAGCUGAUUGAUGGAGGUGGAUGCAUGGAUGCUGAUGUGAGCUGGGCGGGCUGGCGGGCAUCCUCUGUCAUGUCCCGAAGAUUUCAAGUAGGACUUGACAGCUGCUGGUGAUGGAAAUGAAUUUCAAGGCGAUAAGAGUUGACAGCAUAGACAGAGUUUUGGACAGUGGACAAAACGGACUUAGCAGCCACAGAACAACAUGAGUCACUUCUCUUCUGCUUCUGCUACAACGUCAUCUCCUUCUUCUGCUACUACUGAUACAGCUACUGUUACUGCUGCUACUGUUGCUGCUGCUUCUUCUGUGCUGAGAAAUCAACACUUUUGGACCUUUGUAGCUGAUUGCUGAUCAUUGCAGUAAUAAGGUGUUACAUCUGUGAGUUCACUUAGAUUAUGAUGAUUAUCUUUUUCUUCCUCCCCUUCUUCUUCUUCUUCUUCUUCUUCUUCUUCUUACUAACAAAAUUUUGUAUUGAUAUAGGGUGAUUGUUUAUUGCAUUGUUAUAGCCAAUAUUACUUUCAUUUAGUAGACUAUAAUAAUAUGAAAUCUGUUACAUGACAUUCAAAAAUUUGGAGGAUUCAGAGCAAGAAUUUUUCUCUCUUAUUCAUGAAAUGGAAUUGCAUAGAAAUUUAGUAAUAGAAAAAAGACGGUGGAGUUAUGCAGAGCUUGAGGUAUGUUUAGACGUGUAUACAAAUUGUAGAUUAAUUUGUAUGAGAUUCAAGGGUGAUUAUGAUUGGAAUCGAAUAUAUUGCAGCUCAUAUAAAAUGAUUGAAUAAGGAGACUUAUACUUGUGAUUUUGACAAGAGUAUCUCAUGCAAAUGUAUUUUAUAUUUGUAUACAAGUCUUGACGUGCCUUGAAAUGUAUAAUUGGAGGACUGGAGCUGUGCAUGUAUAAUAAGGUAGGUGAUCACCUCAUCGUGGAAUACAUGCUGAUUGUGCAGAUCUCCGAAUCACCACCACCUGUCUAUUUAUUUAUUAUUCAUUUACAAUAUUACAACGUCUACAAUAUACAUAUAUAGUCAUAUAGUCUAUAUAGACAUAUAUAGUCUACAAUAUAGACAUUAGACAAAGAUUUAUGCAGAACAAUAUUUUUAGGUUGUUGAAACCUUGACACAAAUGUACAAAUUUACACAAAAUGAUAAUAGUGAGGUCCUCGUUAUAAUGGCAGUACUUGAUUAGCAUUGGUGUUGCUAUCCUUGUCUAUCAUUUGACAAAGCAGAUAGCGCCAUCCUUUUCUAGCUCUGCAACGUUUCCACAUCGUUUUUCACAAUGUAUAAAUAUAAUAAUCGAUGUACAAAAUAUCUAUUUUUAAUUAUGAAAAUUCAUUAUUUGAUCAUUGACAAAUGAAAUAUAAUUAUUGAUUAUUGUAACCAAGAUAGCUAAUAUAACAUAAGAUACACUGGUAUCAGCUAUUCUUUAUAGAAGGCAGUGACAAGGCAGAGAAUCGACAACGCUGUUCUACUAUCUUUUUUCCACUGCCAUAAUAGCGUGGACCUCACUAUAGAAAAAAAAUUAACAAGUACCUCUCUACAAAAAUAUGAUAUCCAGAAAUUAUUAUGAACUGUGAAAUGCUAUUGAUCUAUUAAAGAGAUUUAGUUGAGUAUCCAGGCUUUUGCAAGUUGCAAAUUUAUUCUUUCAAUUUUUAAUACAUUUGAAAUGUUGUAUUUGUUGGCAGAAUUGAAUUUUGAUUAGAGCUUUAGAGGAAAAAUUUCUUGUUUUGAUCGUUUGCUGAAAACAUUAACUCAAAAACAGAAAUGUUUUGGUAUUUGCUAAAACCGUAAUUUCAGAAACAUGAGUUCAAUUAUUGCUUCAAUUGAAUAUUUUUGAAGCUUGUAAAUUACCUGGUUACAGUAUAAUUGAAUGAUUUUAGUGCCUUUUGCUGUGGAGUUGUUGAACUAUUUCAAUAAUUUGAAAUUUAUUCGUGGAAUGGUUUAUUUAAGUUUGGUUCUGUUGAGAAAGCAGUACCUCUCAGGCUACAGUAAUGUGUUUCAAAUUGAUUCGAAUACAGUAAAAGUGUUACAAUUUCCAUUCAAGUGUUUAUGUUGUAGCAUUUUUGCUGUAAAUUCCUUUAUCCUUGAAUCGAUUGGUGUGAGAGAAUAAUAAAUUAUUUCUGAUUUGGUUGUUUUUCAAUCAUUUGUUUCCUUCAUUAUGAAUCUGUUUGAAACACAUUACUGCUUAUUCGAAAAUGAUGUAAAAUUCAGUGUUUUAUACAGCACUUUGAGUUGUCACAAUACCAGUGGAGUAGUUUCAAUACAAACAUUAAUUAACCAUUAGUUGAUUGGUAUAUUCAGGUUUGGUUCUGUUAGGGCCGUUUGCACAGUAUAGAUUUCUAAACUCGAUUAAGUUAAUACAAAAGUUGAAUCGGUUUUCUCAGUGCAUUUACUAAUCCAGUUUAAGUUUUGGAUCGGGUUUCUCAGUGCUUUUACUAAUCCAGUUUAAGUUUUGAAUCGGGUUUCUCAGUGCAUUUACUAAUCCAGUUUAAGUUAAACUAGUUUAGCGUCAAGUUGGUAAUAGAGUGUCAUCGUUUAUAAUAUCAGGAAGGCUGAUUUUUACAGGAAAUUUGUUAAUUGUUUACAAACCAUCAGUAAUUUGAGGUUAUGUAGCUACUAUCGUUUAUAAUAUCAGGAAGGCUGAUUUUUACAGGAAAUUUGUUAAUUGUUUACAAACCAUCAGUAAUUUGAGGUUAUGUAGCUACUAUUUUAGUAUUUUCUUGUUCUUGUUCAAAAUCCACAGAGCUGUAAGCUGUACAGUUAUAAAAGUGAAAAGCGAUCAAGAAAUUCUUUAAAAACUUAUGUUUAGUUGGCACCAGAAAAUAUAUUUUAGAAUGUAAGAUAAAAAAGUUAUUUUGUUAUGCUUGAAUCUACUAUGGUCUUCCUCGUUUAUUAGAAAUCUCUUGAAAGCAAUAUAUCUCAGUUAUGUGUUAUUAAAAACAUGUUUUCUAAUCGAAUACCACUGUUAAAAACUGUCUUAAUUUCUAUCAAGUGGUUUAUUCAAUCAAAAUACUAAAUUGGCAGUUGCUGUACUCAAGCAAAACUGUUAAAAAAUUCUCUAUCCCAGAAAUUCAAAUUAUUUGUUUUUUGCCCAAUUUUUCUCAGUUACAAAAUUUCUUUGCAGUCAUCUUUAUCAAUCGCAUUAAAAACUUCUAUCAAUUCCUCCAUUACAAUUAUUUUUACAUCCAAAUAAUGAUUCACUGUAACCUAAAUUAAUAAUUAUUGUCUACAGAAGCAUUAAAAACAACCGUCGAAGAAUAAUUUACUAUAAGCUGUUUCCCCAUCAAAUCUUUACAGAUGUCAAGUUACCGAAAUUAUUUGGUUUAAACCUCCUUCUUUGGAGGUUUAAACUUUCCCAGAGUUUAAACUCAAUACAGAGUUUAAACUGAUACUGUGCAAACAGAAUUUUAGUUUAAACAAAAAAAAAAUCCAGAUUUGGUUUAAGCUUUAGCUUAAACUUACACUGUGCAUACGGCCCUUAAUGGGAAAUUACUCUCAGUCAACAGUAAUGCGUAUCAAAUUAAUUCCAAUACAGUAAAAGUGUUCCAAUCAUUUACAUUCUAAUAAUACUGCAGAGUGAAUAUUGUAGCAUUUUUACUGUAUAUUCCUUUAUCCUUGAAUCGGUUGGUGUGAGAGAAUAAUAAAUGAUUUCUGGCUGUAGUUGCUUUUCAAUCAUUUUUCCUUCAUUAUGAAUCAGUUUGAAACGCACUACUGUUGGCUUGAAAAUGAUCAAAGAUGGAGUUUCCUCAUUUUGUCUAUUUUUUAAAAUGAUUGUGAUAUUCAGGCUACCGUAUGCUUACUAUUUCCAGUACUACGCAUGCGCUGUCAAGUGUUACAUUCUCAAAUUGAAGUAUAGCGAAGAUUGAAGGAAAUUGUGAUGAUGCUCAUUCUCUGACAAGUAAUGGCACAUGUUUUACUUGACGAGCAGUAGUUUGGCAAGCAUUACUUAACAGAUGCAUACGACUUGUCUGAAGCACAAGGCACAAUAUCAAUCAAAUAAGGUUGUUUAUAUUAUAAGUUCAGUGUGAUAAUUGAUUUAAAUUCUUGAACAACAUUGUUGGGUUGUGAUCCUACAUGGAGCUGGGUACAACCCAACAAGUCUUCUUCGAAUCCUCCAAAUAUUUAAAUUUAUUUAAAAUGUCCAUAAAUAUUAGUGAUAAGUGAAAUAGAUAUACUGUACUGAAUCACCCUUUAUCAUGUAAGACUAAUAAGAUAUUUUAUGUCAAUACUUUAAUACUUCCUUCUCUAGUAUUCUUCUUUCUCCUUUAUUCUUCCUUUCUCUAGUAUUCUUCUUUCUCUAGUCUAGUAUUCUUCCUUUCUCUAGUAUUCUUCUUACUCUAGUCUAGUAUUCUUCUUUCUCUA